rnacentral:rRNA from 1 species
GAUGAACGCUGGCGGCGUGCCUAAUACAUGCAAGUCGAGCGAACAGACGAGGAGCUUGCUCCUCURACGUUAGCGGCGGACGGGUGAGUAACACGUGGAUAACCUACCUAUAAGACUGGGAUAACUUCGGGAAACCGGAGCUAAUACCGGAUAAUAUAUUGAAYCGCAUGGUUCAAUAGUGAAAGACGGUUUUGCUGUCACUUAUAGAUGGAUCCGCGCCGCAUUAGCUAGUUGGUAAGGUAACGGCUUACCAAGGCAACGAUGCGUAGCCGACCUGAGAGGGUGAUCGGCCACACUGGAACUGAGACACGGUCCAGACUCCUACGGGAGGCAGCAGUAGGGAAUCUUCCGCAAUGGGCGAAAGCCUGACGGAGCAACGCCGCGUGAGUGAUGAAGGUCUUCGGAUCGUAAAACUCUGUUAUUAGGGAAGAACAAAUGUGUAAGUAACUAUGCACGUCUUGACGGUACCUAAUCAGAAAGCCACGGCUAACUACGUGCCAGCAGCCGCGGUAAUACGUAGGUGGCAAGCGUUAUCCGGAAUUAUUGGGCGUAAAGCGCGCGUAGGCGGUUYUUUAAGUCUGAUGUGAAAGCCCACGGCUCAACCGUGGAGGGUCAUUGGAAACUGGAAAACUUGAGUGCAGAAGAGGAAAGUGGAAUUCCAUGUGUAGCGGUGAAAUGCGCAGAGAUAUGGAGGAACACCAGUGGCGAAGGCGACUUUCUGGUCUGUAACUGACGCUGAUGUGCGAAAGCGUGGGGAUCAAACAGGAUUAGAUACCCUGGUAGUCCACGCCGUAAACGAUGAGUGCUAAGUGUUAGGGGGUUUCCGCCCCUUAGUGCUGCAGCUAACGCAUUAAGCACUCCGCCUGGGGAGUACGACCGCAAGGUUGAAACUCAA